CAGUAUCAUUUGGGUUGAAUGCCUUUUAUUUGUCACAAAUUUCCGAAAUAUUGGAAAGACAGUAGACGGGAUUUUCAAUAUAAAUAUACAGACUCUCUCUCUCGCUUAAAAAAUCAGCACAAUAUAAUUAUGAUGCACUCAGGACUGAAUCUGAUAUUAGGGACCCAGCUCUUUAAUGAUCCAAUCGAUGAUGAGGGAAUGACAAUGGCUGAACCGGAGCCAAUUGAUGAUGGCCAUAAGGCGGACGACGAAAAUGAUUCUGAUGGUGAUUCUGAAGAUGAGUUUAAAGUGGACGAAUCGGACGACGAGUUCAACGAACGGCAGAAGGAGGAAGAACGUGACAAGAUGGAUAUUGAAAACCUAAGUCGCUCACUUGGUUUUUCCAAUGAAUGUUAAUGUUUCGAUCAAUGAUGCAUAUCUUUGGAUAGCAAUUGAUAAUCGUUUAAUUGUCGUUUAUUGUUGAACAAAUUUAAUCUAAAUUUUUACAUUUCUGAAAGCAAUCGAGAAACCUCAAAUUAUCGUUAAUUUUUGAGCAAAUUUGUUCGAAAUAAGCCAAAAUUCCAAGUUUCACAACAAUGUUCCUAAUAUUCCCAGUGUGACACGUGCCAUGCAGCAGGCCACCUCGGUCGAUCGCAUUGUUUUCCACUUCUAUAAUGCCAGAUCACUUUUCGGAGAAGAAACAAGAUCUCACCGUUCUGGAUUAUGAGACCACACCAUCUGCCAUGGAAUGCUGUAUCGUAGCGAUGAAACCAGCUAGGAUUUCCCCCUAACCUGCAAUCCCUCCCAGUAAAAUGUGGACCACACACGAAAAGAAAGCUCCUCCCUCUGCACGGGAAAGCAACGAACAUAAAC